AUUGAACGCUGGCGGCAUGCUUUACACAUGCAAGUCGAACGGCAGCACGAAAGAGCUUGCUCUUUUGGUGGCGAGUGGCGAACGGGUGAGUAAUGCAUCGGAACGUACCGAGUAAUGGGGGAUAACUAUCCGAAAGGAUAGCUAAUACCGCAUACGCUUUGAGAAGGAAAGUGGGGGCUCUUCGGACCUCACGUUAUUCGAGCGGCCGAUGUCUGAUUAGCUAGUUGGUGGGGUAAAGGCCUACCAAGGCGACGAUCAGUAGCGGGUCUGAGAGGAUGAUCCGCCACACUGGGACUGAGACACGGCCCAGACUCCUACGGGAGGCAGCAGUGGGGAAUUUUGGACAAUGGGCGCAAGCCUGAUCCAGCCAUGCCGCGUGUCUGAAGAAGGCCUUCGGGUUGUAAAGGACUUUUGUUAGGGAAGAAAAGGAUAGUGUUAAUACCAUUAUCUGCUGACGGUACCUA
rnacentral:rRNA from 1 species